AUGGCCACACCAGCAGUACCUGCGAGUGUUUCUCCUGCCACUCCAGCCCCAGCCUAGGCUGUGGCCUUAGCUUCAGCCUCAGCUCCAGCACCAGCUCCAACUCCAGCUCCAUCCUCAUCCCCAGACAUGCCGGCAGCAGCAGGGCAGACCCCGGCACAGUCGCUGGCUGGUCCUGCCCCUUCCCUGGUACCCAUGUGUUCCGGUUGCACCCAGUCAUUUUGGCCAUGGACAGCUAUGAGCGAUGCAGUGAGGAGCUGCCCAAGUUAUCGGGACCCUGCUGGAACCACUGACAAGCACUCAGUGGAAGUCACCAAUCACUUUUCAGUGCCACACAUUGAGUCAGAAGAUGAGGUGGCUAUUGACAUGGAAUUUGCUAAGAAUAUGUAUGAACUGCACAAGAAAGUCUGUCCCAGUGAGCUCAUCCCGGGUUGGUACUCUACAGGCCAUGACAUCACAGAGCACUCUGUGCUGAUCCAUGAGUAUACAGCAGGGAAGCCCCUAACCCCAUUCACCUCACUGUGGACACGAGGCUCCAGAACGGCCACAUGAGCAUCAAGGCCUAUGUCAGCACUUUAAUGGGUACCCCUAGGACCACCAUGGGGGUGAUGCUCACACCUCUGAAAGUGAAAUACGUAUUAUGACACUGAACGCAUUGGAGUGGACCUGAUCAUAAAAACCUGUUUUAGCCCCAACAGGGUGAUUGGACUCUCAAGUGACUUGCAGCAAGUAGCAGGUUCCUCGGCUCGCAUCCAGGACGUCCUCCCUAAGCACAGUGUUGCAGUAUGCAGAUGUACUGUCUGCAAAAGGUGUCAUCUGACAAUACUUUGGGCUGCUUCUUGAUGAGUCUGGUUGACCAAGUACCCAACAUAGUACCCAAUGACUUUGAGACCAUGCUCAACAGCAACAUCAAUGAUCUGCUGAUGGUGAACUACCUGGCCAAUCUCACAGUCAGUCACAGAUUGCCUCAAAGAGAAAACUUGGGAAACUGAGGCCGGCUCGUUCAGAAGAGACAGCGCAAGCAGCCCGCCAGGUGGGCCGGCCUGGAUCCGCGGCGCGGAACACAGCCGCGAAGAGCCCUCGCGUCUGGAAGCGACCUGGCCGAGGAAGGGGGGAUGUGGCCCCCCACUGCUCGCAGGGCUUGCAGGUGAGAGUGCCGCCUCCUCUGUGCGUGGCAGGCGCUGCGCCCAAUGGGAGCCCUCGCCGUCCCGCUUCCGUGCAGACUGGACUCUCUGAUUGGCUACGCUGGGCGGGCCGCCGGGGGCGAGACCCCUCCUCCCAGAAAGGUCUAGGGGGCGCCCCUGAGGGAGAGCGGUUGCCUAGCAACGGGGCGGUGGCCCGGCGGGUACCCGGCCCUGAGCGCGGGAGAAGCCGCGAGGCCGCAGCCCACCCACCCCGGGCCUCGGAGAGCGGCAGCCCCCGGCCCCCAAGCCUUCCCGGGGGCACGAGGAAGCUGCCUCGGGCCUGGCCCCAGGAAAACGUGAUCUUGGCUGUGGGGGGCCUCGAGCAGGCCUCGACCCUUCUCCCUGACCGGAGAAGAGGCCCGGCGCCUCAUUCUCACCCCGUCUUUGUGCAGGGCGCCGGCGGCCAUUGUGUCCGUACGGGGAAUGGAGGACCCGGCAAUCCCCCACCGCCACCGCCGCGUCCAGGGCCUUUGGGGAAUUCAAAGAAUACCAGCGGCGUUUCUGGGGGGUCCCCGGCCUUCAGCCUCCCGGAAAGACCCGAGGAUGGCCUUUCCGAAGUCAGACCGCAGAUCCGAGGCAGUUUCCCCCUCCCUGUGUCCCUCAUCGAAACCUUGAGCCCCAUUGAGAAGUCCCUUCAGGGUUUCGGAAGCCUCAACCUGGGCCGGUACUUAAAUAGAAAAAAAAAAAAAAACCCUAAGCCCCACACCAGCCACCUCUGGGAGAAUUCUCCUGGCUCCCAGUAGGAGGCGGAGGGAGAGCCAAGGAGCGUGCUACAGCGAGGGGGCUGGGCUCCCAGUGGCAGGAGGCCGCCCUCGUUCUGGGCGAUGGAGGAAGAAGCUAGCGAGGCGACGGGUUCGUUAGCUUCGUAAUUCCUGUGUCGCCUUCUGGGCUCCCAGCCUGCCGGGUCGCAUGAUCCUUCCAGCCGGAGCUGGUUUUUUUGCCAGCCGCCGCGAGGCUGGCUGAGUUACCGGCAUCCCGGCUGCCACCUCUUCUUCCGACCUAUGAUA